AAUAAGAUCAUUUUUUAGUUUUUUAUACAAUGUUUUGAUUCUUCGUCUUAUUUGAAUUUUUUUUAAUUAAUAUUUUUAAUUCUUAUUAGAUGAUAAAAUAUAAAUAAUACUUUAUGCGUGACUAAUUUUUGAAAAUUUUUUAUAAAUUUUUUAAAUAAAACGAAUGAUCAAACGAUAAACACGAAAGAGGCAGUAAAA
rnacentral:pre_miRNA from 1 species